rnacentral:rRNA from 1 species
GUCCACGCCGUAAACGAUGGGCACUAGGUGCUUCGGGGAGCGACCCUCGGAGUGCCGGCGCUAACGCAUUAAGUGCCCCGCCUGGGGAGUACGGCCGCAAGGCUGAAACUCAAAGGAAUUGACGGGGGCCCGCACAAGCGGUGGAGCAUGUGGUUCAAUUCGACGCAACGCGAAGAACCUUACCUGGGCUUGACAUGUACGGGAAAGCUGCCAGAAACGGCAGCCCUCCUUCGGGAUCCGUGCACAGGUGCUGCAUGGCUGUCGU